GCUGGGUGUGGUGGUGGGCACCUGUAAUCCCAGCUACUUGGGAGGCCGAGGCAGGAGAAUCGCUUGAACCCAGGAGGCGGAAGUUGCAGUGAGCCGAGAUCUGCACUCCAGCCUGGGUGACAGGGCGAGACUCUGCCUCAA
ensembl:misc_RNA Metazoa_SRP Metazoan signal recognition particle RNA